GAAACUUAUCGCGCUUCAAAGCUUGCACGUCAGUGAUAAUUGCUAGUUAAACGCCACAAACAACAUAUUUUCAUUCACCUUUUAGACGAUUGUCCAAAUUUCAUCAACUGUUCUAAAGUUUAUAUUUGAGCGAGAGUAAAUUAAAGAACUGUGAUUGCUAUACAGGGGUCAACCUUGUACUACAGUCUGGUGAUCUGUUGGCCUAUAUACAGUUAAUGAGAAGAAAUAGCUGGUAUUUGCCUGCUUCCGUCGUUUAUGUUACAUAAUUGUUUAUCAGUCUGG